GCUCCUACCGAUGUUUGGUCCGGUGAAAUCUUAGGAUUCGUGACAUACACUCACCAGCUCUUUCGGGGGAAGGUGAGUUUGUUGUGGAGAAUUUGAGUAAACCUUGCCAAAUAGAGGAAGGAGAAGUCGUAACAAGGUAUUCGUAGGUGAACCUGCAGAAGGAUCAC
rnacentral:misc_RNA from 1 species